rnacentral:SRP_RNA from 1 species
GUGUGCUAGGCGGGAAGGUAGCGGUGUCCUGUAACCCACAAUCCGCUAUAGUGGGGCUGAAUUCCUGUUUGAGAAUAUUGAUUUUCUUUAUUGUGGCAGUAAGUGGUUUUGAGGAUCAAGCCCAGCGCAAUUGUGAGCUUUGAACUGUGUCAGGUCCGGAAGGGAGCAGCACUAAAUUGCUAUCAUGAUGUGCCGCUGGUCUACUUGGUUUGAGCUGGCUGCUGUUUUCAUUAUUGGAAUAGGUAUCGAUUGCAGGUGCACAC